AACGCUAGCUACAGGCUUAACACAUGCAAGUCGAGGGGCAGCAUGAACUUAGCUUGCUAAGUUCGAUGGCGACCGGCGCACGGGUGAGUAACGCGUAUCCAACCUUCCGUACACUCAGGAAUAGCCUUUCGAAAGAAAGAUUAAUACCUGAUGGUAUGAUGAGAUUGCAUGAAAUCAUCAUUAAAGAUUCAUCGGUGUACGAUGGGGAUGCGUUCCAUUAGAUAGUAGGCGGGGUAACGGCCCACCUAGUCGACGAUGGAUAGGGGUUCUGAGAGGAAGGUCCCCCACAUUGGAACUGAGACACGGUCCAAACUCCUACGGGAGGCAGCAGUGAGGAAUAUUGGUCAAUGGGCGCGAGCCUGAACCAGCCAAGUAGCGUGAAGGAUGAAGGUCCUACGGAUUGUAAACUUCUUUUAUAAGGGAAUAAAGUCACCUACGUGUAGGUGUUUGUAUGUACCUUAUGAAUAAGCAUCGGCUAACUCCGUGCCAGCAGCCGCGGUAAUACGGAGGAUGCGAGCGUUAUCCGGAUUUAUUGGGUUUAAAGGGAGCGUAGGUUGACAUAUAAGUCAGCUGUGAAAGUUUACGGCUCAACCGUGAAAUUGCAGUUGAUACUGUAUGUCUUGAGUGUACAAGAGGUGGGCGGAAUUCGUGGUGUAGCGGUGAAAUGCUUAGAUAUCACGAAGAACUCCGAUUG
rnacentral:rRNA from 1 species